rnacentral:rRNA from 1 species
UUUAUUAGAAGAGACGCAUUUAUUAGAUAAAAAGCCAAUGCAUGCUUUUACAGUAUGGAAAUUGGUGAUUUAUAAUAACUUAGCAAAUCGCAAAGUGAAAACAGGCGAUAAAUCAUUCAAGUUUCUGACCUAUCAGCUUUCGACGGUAUGGUAUUGGCUUACCGUGGCAGUGACGGUUAACGGGGGAUUAGGGUUCGAUUCCGGAGAGGGAGCCUGAGAAACGGCUACCACAUCUAAGGAAGGCAGCAGGCGCGCAAAUUACCCAAUUCUAACAGUUUGAGAGAGGUAGUAACAAGAAAUAACAAUACAAGGCAAUUAAAAUGCUUUGUAAUUGGAAUGAUAGAAAUUUAAACCCUUUUUAAAGUAUCAAUUGGAGGGCAAGUCUGGUGCCAGCAGCCGCGGUAAUUCCAGCUCCAAUAGCGUAUAUUAAAAUUGUUGCAGUUAAAAAGCUCGUAGUUGAAGUUCUGCUAAAAGUAACCGGUCUGCUUUUAAUAAAAGUGGUAUCUUGGUGUGUAUUUAGCAAUGAUGUCCUUUGAAGUGUUUUUUACUUUAUUGUAAUAAAGCAUAUUCAGGACUUUUACUUUGAGAAAAUUAGAGUGUUUCUAGCAGGCCGACGCUUUGAAUA